CGCAACCGUCAUCCCUUCCACCCGCGGAGGCGGCAGGGCCACAACGGGCGUCCGUUAUUCCCAGAGGAUGUGGUUUUGGACCUGGGCCCCAGGGCAGCGGAGCCCGAUGGAGCGGAGCCUGGUGGUGCAGGAGGGACAGCCCAGGCCGGUGGCGGCACCUAAGGGUUCCACCGGACCAGGGAAAAACGGAAACAGCUAUGACAACAAUCUCUCCUCUCUCCCCUCCGAGCUCCAGCAACAUCCGGGGCCCCUGUGUCAGGCUCUUUGAAGCUGUGAACUGGGGUCACUGAGAGAGACAGACGGAAGCCAAGAAGGGGUUCCCAUGGAGGGGGACCCCACGGGGCCUGGGCCCACGGGGGGGAGGCCGUAGUUUAGAGAACGGAGGGUAGAGGACAGAAGCGUCUAAGGGGCCCUGGUCUGGGGACAGAUCCUGAGCCUGUGAGCUGUGGGAAAGUCAUUUAAACAAAGCAUCAUUGCAGCCCUGGACACCAUCAGCACCCCGGAGCUUCUUCGAGAGCCGGCGAGAGCCCUGGCUCAGCCGUUGGUCGUCCCAGUGACGGUGCAGACAGCCGGGUCUCUUGGCCCGCUGCGAUGCCGCUCUGCAUCCGUGGAGUAAACACACGUGUGGGUUCCUCCUCUGUAACAUUAGAACGCAUUUGUAGGACUAGAUAUUUGGAACAUGAUCAUCUAGAAGACUAAAAAGAGCUGAAAGCUUUCUGCAUUGUCACAACCCAAAGAUAACCGUUGCCGAGAGUGGCCCUCGGGGCGUUCUGACCUUUCCCUGAUCUCUGCGUCUUAUGUCAUCUUUGACGACAUCACAUGUGCUGUUCUGAAUAU